rnacentral:rRNA from 1 species
AGCGAACGCUGGCGGCAGGCCUAACACAUGCAAGUCGAACGGAUCCAUCGUGAUUACUUGCGGAUGGGUGAGGCACACGUCGGACCGUGCCCUUUUGUUCCGAACUACUCUGGGUAACUUGAGCUAAUGUCGGAUGAGCCCUGCGGGGGCAAGAUUUAUCGCCAUUGGAGCGGCCCGCGUCCGAUUCGCUUGUCGGGGUGGGAACGGCCCACCAAGGCGACGAUCAGUAGCUGGGCUGUGAGAGUGAGCAGCCACACUGGCAAUGAGACACGGCCCAGACUCCUACGCGAUGGGGCAGUGGGGGAUCUUGAGAAAUGGGCGAGGGGCUGACGCGGCCAGGCGGGGGGAGUGAUGAAGGUCGUAGGAAUGAAAAGUUAUUUCAGCGGGGACGAUAAUGACGGUACCCGAAGAAGAAGCUCCGGCUAACUUCGUG